rnacentral:rRNA from 1 species
GAAACGACUGCUAAUACCGCAUAAGCGCACAGCUUCGCAUGAAGCAGUGUGAAAAACUCCGGUGGUACAAGAUGGACCUGCGUCUGAUUAGCUGGUUGGUGAGGUAACGGCCCACCAAGGCGACGAUCAGUAGCCGGCCUGAGAGGGUGAACGGCCACAUUGGGACUGAGACACGGCCCAAACUCCUACGGGAGGCAGCAGUGGGGAAUAUUGCACAAUGGGGGAAACCCUGAUGCAGCAACGCCGCGUGAGUGAAGAAGUAUUUCGGUAUGUAAAGCUCUAUCAGCAGGAAAGAAAAUGACGGUACCUGACUAAGAAGCCCCGGCUAACUACGUGCCAGCAGCCGCGGUAAUACGUAGGGGGCAAGCGUUAUCCGGAUUUACUGGGUGUAAAGGGAGCGUAGACGGUUUUGCAAGUCUGAAGUGAAAGCCCGGGGCUUAACCCCGGGACUGCUUUGGAAACUGUAGGACUAGAGUGCAGGAGAGGUAAGUGGAAUUCCUAGUGUAGCGGUGAAAUGCGUAGAUAUUAGGAGGAACACCAGUGGCGAAGGCGGCUUACUGGACUGUAACUGACGUUGAGGCUCGAAAGCGUGGGGAGCAAACAGGAUUAGAUACCCUGGUAGUCCACGCCGUAAACGAUGAUUACUAGGUGUUGGUGGGUAUGACCCAUCGGUGCC